AAAAACAUAACCUUUAGCCAAACAAAUAUUAAAGGCAACGCCUGCCCAGUGAACAAUUAAACGGCCGCGGUACCCUAACCGUGCAAAGGUAGCAUAAUCAUUUGUCUACUAAUUAUAGACCUGUAUGAAAGGCAAAAUGAGGGUCCAACUGUCUCUUAUAAUAAAUCAAUUAAACUGAUCUCCUAGUAAAAAAGCUAGAAUAAUACCAUAAGACCAGAAGACCCUGUGAAGCUUAAAUUAAACUACUAAAUCACAUAGUAAUUACUUUCGGUUGGGGCGACCUCGGAAAAAAACAAAACUUCCAAGACCCAGUAAAACUGACAAUUGAACCAAGUUACUCCAGGGAUAACAGCGCAAUCUUCUUCAAGAGCCCAUAUCAAAAAGAAGGUUUACGACCUCGAUGUUGGAUCAGGACAUCCUAAUGGUGCAGCCGCUAUUAAGGGUUCGUUUGUUCAACGAUUAACAGUCCUACGUGAUCUG
rnacentral:rRNA from 1 species